UACGUAGGGGGCAAGCGUUAUCCGGAUUUACUGGGUGUAAAGGGAGCGUAGACGGCAGCGCAAGUCUGGAGUGAAAUGCCGGGGCCCAACCCCGGAACUGCUUUGGAAACUGUGCAGCUCGAGUGCAGGAGAGGUAAGCGGAAUUCCUAGUGUAGCGGUGAAAUGCGUAGAUAUUAGGAGGAACACCAGUGGCGAAGGCGGCUUACUGGACUGUAACUGACGUUGAGACUCGAAAGCGUGGGGAGCAAACAGG
rnacentral:rRNA from 1 species